rnacentral:rRNA from 1 species
UUCUGACCGUGCUAAGGUAGCAUAAUCAUUAGUUUUUUAAUUGGAAACUGGAAUGAAAGGUUUGAUGAGAAAAUAUCUGUCUCUAAUUUAAUUAAAUUGAAUUUUAUUUUUAAGUAAGAAAGCUUAAAUUUUUUUGAAAGACGAUAAGACCCUAUAGAGUUUUAUUUAUAAUUUGUUAAUAUAUAUUGGUAUAGAAAUUGUUUUAAUUUUUUAGGAAAUUUAAUUGGGGUGAUUGAAAAAUUAAACAAACUUUUUUUUUAUUAGACAUUAAUUUAUGAAUAAUUGAUCCAUUAUUGAAUGAUUAUAAGAUUAAAUUACCUUAGGGAUAACAGCGUAAUUUUUUUUGAGAGUUCUAAUCGAAAAAAGAGAUUGCGACCUCGAUGUUGGAUUAAGAUAAAAUUUUGGUGUAGAAGCUAUAUAAUUUAGGUCUGUUCGACCUUUAAAAUCUUACA